rnacentral:rRNA from 1 species
UACAGGGGGUGCAAGCGUUAUUCGGAAUUACUGGGCGUAAAGCGCGUGUAGGUGGUUUAGUCAGUCUGACGUGAAAUCCCCGGGCUCAAUCCGGGAAGUGCGUUAGAUACUACUAGACUAGAGUGCAGGAGAGGUAAGCGGAAUUCCUGGUGUAGAGGUGAAAUUCGUAGAUAUCAGGAGGAACAACAGUGGCGAAGGCGGCUUACUGGACUGCAACUGACGCUAAGGCGCGAAAGUGUGGGGAGCAAACAGG